UCUAUAUAUUGUUUGUCUUUGCAGUCCACAUUCUUGCAACUCAGGCUGUCUUCUGGUCUUCGAAAGGUCCUUUUUGGCACGGCUCUUGGUACGGUCGCCCUAGCCCUGGCUGCACACCAGCUAAAACGGCACAAGCACAAGAAGAAGCAGAUUACAGCAGGCAAUGGAGGCCUAAAGCUCGGCGGGGUGCCUGGCUCUGUUUUGCCCGUUAGGCGUUCUUCCUCAGCUAAAAAAGUUAAACAUAAAAUGCUUCUAGUCAUCUAUACUUGGGGACGCUGGGAAUCAGAAAGCAGAUUGUUGUCAGAGAUGGACUUGGAGUACUCCUGAGCGAGACGCCUGCUGCCCAUUUGGAGGCUGCAAAUCUCUGCCGGACUCUGCUCCCUACAGUGUGGAUGGUGAGUCGCGGUAUCCGGCAGGAGGGCUGGUGUGACGUACUUAAGGCUUUUCAGCUCACAGGGAAAUUGUAAAAAGCAACUCAGACACAGGGGGAAGAUAGAAUCUCCUAGAGCUCCAUGAGGCGUGAGAACCUUGCUUCUGGGGCAGCAUUGCUGAGGCGGGGCAAUGACCAGACGUUGGACCUUCAUGGAGCGACUCGGUCAAAGGUUGAACCUUUUGAGAGGAGCUUGAACUGAUAAUUCUGACUGGCUGAAAAGCACUGCCCUAAGGUAAAAAGCAACUCAGACACAGGGGGAAGAUAGAAUCUCCUAGAGCUCCAUGAGGCGUGAGAACCUUGCUUCUGGGGCAGCAUUGCUGAGGCGGGGCAAUGACCAGAAGUUGGACCUUCAUGGAGAGACUCGGUCAAAGGUUGAACCUUUUGAGAGGAGCUUGAACUGAUAAUUCUGACUUGCUGAAAAGCACUGCCCUAAGUCUUUCAGGCAUUUCUGGAGUUAAUGGACUGCGUAUUCCCCAUUUUCCAGCAACAAUUUGGCAUGUGUGGAGUUAAUGGAAUGCUUAUUGCCCUUUUUCCAAGGAUCGUACCGGCAUGUGUGGAGUUAAUGGA